GUAUGGACUACAUUCAUAUAGCCAGACAGGAAAGAAAAAUAAAAGUUGUUUCAAGUUCACUUCUCAAAGAGUUCCAAAGCAGUGUGACGUAGAAAGCAGGUGUGGCGUAAUACUGGGAAGAGACAGAAAGCAGGUGUGACUUAAUACUGGGAAGAGACAGAAAGCAGGUAUGACGUAAUACUGGGAAGAGACAGACAGAAAGCAGGUGUGGCGUAAUACUGGGAAGAGACAGACAGAAAGCAGGUGUGACAUAGGUAUGACUAGGACAAGACAGACAGACAGAGAGACUGUGCUGCUUUCCUGGGUGUGCUCACUCAUUGGUCGGAGUCACCCAGGAAACAUGUUUCAGCCUAUGACUAAGACCUGAGGAAGGAACUGUGUUCAUCUCUACACAGCAGCCACCAGGCACCUGCCUGUGCUGCUCCACUCUGUACCUGCGGUCUCAUGACUGAGCGCAUAGUGUAAAGGUUUGACCCUUGCUGAGUUCUGGAGAGGAAAAGUCUGUCUUUCAUAGCACUAGAGAUUUAACCUGGGCGUGUUUAACACUGGGAUUAUAUAUUUUAGCUUGUCCAUAAAAAAGACACACACUCCAGGUACUUUAUUUACUUUGUAAGCCUAGAUUGGCAGGUUUUGGAGCUAUUUUAACUUAUAUCUGAACCAUGUGUCCCUGUUACUUAUGUCUGUCCUGCCAUGUGCUCGUGGUCCAUUUCCUCUCAGGGCUCUUCCCUCCUCCUUUGGUCUCUUCUCUUUUCUCCACCCUUUUCUCUCUACCUGCAACCCCCAGUCAGGUAACUAAAAACCUGCCAGCAAGGUUACUUAGCAUCGUUUGGUGUGUGAGAGGGUCUCCCGGGGCAGCAUUAGAGAACCAGCAGCAUCAGACCAACCCCCACACUGUAUCACUCGAUCACUGCUCUACCCCAGCUGCCUCCCCAGCCAGCCCAGGACGAUGGCUCUCCACAAGGGUGAGCUUAUGUUUGUUAUCUCUGAGGAUUAUGGAUCUCAGGUCUCUGAUCCAGUGAAGGCACCCAUGUACUAAGAUAAACAUGUAAUUGCAAUGGAUUAAAAUUCACCAACUAUUUUGCAUUUGUUAGUU
rnacentral:lncRNA from 1 species